AGAGAGUUGGCUGAAUUGGUUUAAAGCACCAGUCUUGAAAACUGGCAUACGUAAAAGUAUUUAGGGUUCGAGUCCCUAACUCUCUG
rnacentral:tRNA from 1 species